GACGAACGCUGGCGGCGUGCUUAACACAUGCAAGUCGAACGGAAAGGCCCUGCUUUUGUGGGGUGCUCGAGUGGCGAACGGGUGAGUAACACGUGAGUAACCUGCCCUUGACUUUGGGAUAACUUCAGGAAACUGGGGCUAAUACCGGAUAGGAGCUCCUGCUGCAUGGUGUGGGUUGGAAAGUUUCGGCGGUUGGGGAUGGACUCGCGGCUUAUCAGCUUGUUGGUGGGGUAGUGGCUUACCAAGGCUUUGACGGGUAGCCGGCCUGAGAGGGUGACCGGCCACAUUGGGACUGAGAUACGGCCCAGACUCCUACGGGAGGCAGCAGUGGGGAAUAUUGCACAAUGGGCGGAAGCCUGAUGCAGCAACGCCGCGUGCGGGAUGACGGCCUUCGGGUUGUAAACCGCUUUCGCCUGUGACGAAGCGUGAGUGACGGUAAUGGGUAAAGAAGCGCCGGCUAACUACGUG
rnacentral:rRNA from 1 species